rnacentral:rRNA from 1 species
UUCACUUUAANGNCGGCUGCCGGUAAUAAACCGGAGGAAGGUGGGGAUGACGUCAAAUCAUCAUGCCCCUUAUGACCUGGGCUACACACGUGCUACAAUGGCUGGUACAACGAGUCGCAAGCCGGUGACGGCAAGCUAAUCUCUGAAAGCCAGUCUCAGUUCGGAUUGUAGGCUGCAACUCGCCUACAUGAAGUCGGAAUCGCUAGUAAUCGCGGAUCAGCACGCCGCGGUGAAUACGUUCCCGGGCCUUGUACACACCGCCCGUCACACCACGAGAGUUUGUAACACCCGAAGUCGGUGAGGUAACCGUAAGGAGCCAGCCGCCUAAGGUGGGAUAGAUGAUUGGGGUGAAGUCGUAAAGGGGUUAACCGUAAA